rnacentral:rRNA from 1 species
AUGGCCCCGCCGAAGAGGUUCUCGGGCGCGGAGAAAGGAAAGGCUCGCCAGGAAGGUCCUGGCUCUCCUCCGGCCAAGCGUGGCCGGGGCCGCCCUCGCAAGCAUCCUACGGCCUCCGCUGCGGCUUCUCGUGGUCGUGGAAGCAGUCCUCUGCGCGGCGGUGGGUGCUCGGCUGCCGACGAGAGGUACGCGGUGGCUGCGAGACCCCCCAGGCCGCGUUCCCGCUCGGCGGAGGUGCUGCCGGAGUUCGUCGUGUGGUCGGCGGACCCGACCGGCACCUGGCUCCAGCUCUCCCGCUUAUUUGUAGGUGAACUUCCGGCUGGUGCCCUGGGCGGCCUUUGGCUUCAGGCAGAUGGUUGCUGCAGCAGAGCCUCCUAG